rnacentral:rRNA from 1 species
GAUGCAGCCAUGCCGCGUGUAUGAAGAAGGCCUUCGGGUUGUAAAGUACUUUCAGUCGUGAGGAAGGCGGCGUCGUUAAUAGCGGCGUCGUUUGACGUUAGCGACAGAAGAAGCACCGGCUAACUCCGUGCCAGCAGCCGCGGUAAUACGGAGGGUGCGAGCGUUAAUCGGAAUUACUGGGCGUAAAGCGCAUGCAGGUGGUUUGUUAAGUCAGAUGUGAAAGCCCGGGGCUCAACCUCGGAAUAGCAUUUGAAACUGGCAGACUAGAGUACUGUAGAGGGGGGUAGAAUUUCAGGUGUAGCGGUGAAAUGCGUAAAGAUCUGAAGGAAUACCGGUGGCGAAGGCGGCCCCCUGGACAGAUACUGACACUCAGAUGCGAAAGCGUGGGGAGCAAACAGGAUUAGAUACCCUGGUAGUCCACGCCGUAAACGAUGUCUACUUGGAGGUUGUGGCCUUGAGCCGUGGCUUUCGGAGCUAACGCGUUAAGUAGACCGCCUGGGGAGUACGGUCGCAAGAUUAAAACUCAAAUGAAUUGACGGGGGCCCGCACAAGCGGUGGAGCAUGUGGUUUAAUUCGAUGCAACGCGAAGAACCUUACCUACUCUUGACAUCCAGAGAACUUUCCAGAGAUGGAUUGGUGCCUUCGGGAACUCUGAGACAGGUGCUGCAUGGCUGUCGUCAGCUCGUGUUGUGAAAUGUUGGGUUAAGUCCCGCAACGAGCGCAACCCUUAUCCUUGUUUGCCAGCGAGUAAUGUCGGGAACU